rnacentral:rRNA from 1 species
UACGUAGGUGGCAAGCGUUGUUCGGAAUUAUUGGGCGUAAAGGGCGCGUAGGCGGUCUUGUAAGUCAGCUGUGAAAGCCCGGGGCUCAACCCCGGAGGGUCACGCGAUACUGAUCGACUCGAAGGCAGGAGAGGGUAGUGGAAUUCCCGGUGUAGUGGUGAAAUGCGUAGAUAUCGGGAGGAACACCAGUGGCGAAGGCGACUACCUGGCCUGUUUCUUGACGCUGAGGCGCGAAAGCUAGGGGAGCAAACGGG